rnacentral:tRNA from 1 species
AGUAAGGUCAGCUAAAUAAGCUUUUGGGCCCAUACCCCAAAUAUGUUGGUUAAAAUCCUUUCCCUCAC